rfam:TPA: Bos taurus chromosome 16, whole genome shotgun sequence.
UAGCUCAGUUGGUAAAGAAUCUGCCUGCAAUGCAGGAGACCCGGGUUUGAUUCCUGG